GGAAGCCGGUGGGAAUCCGGCACAGUCGCGCUACUGUGACACCGCUCCCGAACCUGGGGGCGGUGGAGUCAGAC
rnacentral:ncRNA from 2 species